rnacentral:rRNA from 1 species
UUCAACAACGGAUCUCUUGGUUCUGGCAUCGAUGAAGAACGCAGCGAAAUGCGAUAAGUAAUGUGAAUUGCAGAAUUCAGUGAAUCAUCGAAUCUUUGAACGCACAUUGCGCCCGCCAGUAUUCUGGCGGGCAUGCCUGUUCGAGCGUCAU